rnacentral:rRNA from 1 species
GUUUGAUCAUGGCUCAGAACGUACGCUGGCGGCACGCCUAACACAUGCAAGUCGAACGAAGUAGCAAUACUUAGUGGCAGACGGGUGAGUAACAUGUGGGUAUCUGCCCUUUGGCCUGGAAUAACACGAGGAAACUUGUGCUAAUACCGGAUAAGUCUUUACGGAGAAAGCUUUAUGCACCAUUGGAUGAGCCCGCACUUGAUUAGUUUGUUGGUGGGGUAAUGGCCUACCAAGACUGUGAUCAAUAGCUGAUUUGAGAGGAUGAUCAGCCACAUUGGGACUGAGACACGGCCCAAACUCCUACGGGAGGCAGCAGUGGGGAAUCUUGCACAAUGGAGGAAACUCUGAUGCAGCGAUGCCGCGUGAGUGAAGAAGGCCCUUGGGUUGUAAAGCUCUUUCGUCGGGGAAGAAAAUGACUGUACCCGAAUAAGAAGGUCCGGCUAACUUCGUGCCAGCAGCCGCGGUAAUACGAAGGGACCUAGCGUAGUUCGGAAUUACUGGGCUUAAAGAGUUCGUAGGUGGUUGAAAAAGUUAGUGGUGAAAUCCCAGAGCUUAACUCUGGAACUGCCAUUAAAACUUUUCAGCUAGAGUAUGAUAGAGGAAAGCAGAAUUUCUAGUGUAGAGGUGAAAUUCGUAGAUAUUAGAAAGAAUACCAAUUGCGAAGGCAGCUUUCUGGAUCAUUACUGACACUGAGGAACGAAAGCAUGGGUAGCGAAGAGGAUUAGAUACCCUCGUAGUCCAUGCCGUAAACGAUGUGUGUUAGACGUUGGAAAUUUAUUUUCAGUGUCGCAGCGAAAGCGAUAAACACACCGCCUGGGGAGUACGACCGCAAGGUUAAAACUCAAAUGAAUUGACGGGGACCCGCACAAGUAGUGGAGCAUGUGGUUUAAUUCGAAGAUACGCGCAGAACCUUACCAACACUUGACAUGUUCGUCGCGACUCUGAGAGAUCAGAGUUUUCGGUUCGGCCGGACGAAACACAGGUGCUGCAUGGCUGUCGUCAGCUCGUGUCGUGAGAUGUUGGGUUAAGUCCCGCAACGAGCGCAACCCCUACCUUUAGUUGCCACCAUUAAGUUGGGCACUUUAAAGGAACUGCCAGUGAUAAGCUGGAGGAAGGUGGGGAUGACGUCAAGUCCUCAUGGCCCUUACGUGUUGGGCUACACACGUGCUACAAUGGCACUUACAGUGGGAAGCUAAGACGCGAGUCCAAGCUAAUCCCUAAAAUGUGCCUCAGUUCGGAUUGCACUCUGUAACUCGAGUGCAUGAAGCUGGAAUUACUAGUAAUCGCGGAUCAGCGCGCCGCGGUGAAUACGUUCCCGGGUCUUGUACACACCGCCCGUCACACCAUGGAAGUUGGUUACACCUUAAGGCAAAUCGUCAACCUUCGGGAGACAUUUGACUACGGUACGAUCAGCAACUGGGGUGAAGUCGUAACAAGGUAGCCGUA